rnacentral:tRNA from 1 species
GCGGACGUGGUGAAAUUGGCAGACACGCAGCCUUGAGGUGGCUGUGCCGUAAAAGGCUUGGAGGUUCAAGUCCUCUCGUCCGCA